GUAUAUAUUAUAUAGGCACAACAUUCUAUUAACAUACAUUGGGGUAAAUGAAGCAACAUAGACCUGAAAGGUCUACAAAAAGUGCACAGGUGGAGAUAUAAAGAUGACAAGGUGUGCACAUGCUCCCUAGAGAGCCAGCAACAACCCAUCAGGUUUAUUUCAAUAAUGAUCCUUCCGCAGGUUCACCUACGGAAA
rnacentral:misc_RNA from 1 species